AUUGAACGCUGGCGGCAGGCUUAACACAUGCAAGUCGAGCGGAGUGAUGGUGCUUGCACUAUCACUUAGCGGCGGACGGGUGAGUAAUGCUUAGGAAUCUGCCUAUUAGUGGGGGACAACAUCUCGAAAGGGAUGCUAAUACCGCAUACGCCCUACGGGAGAAAGCAGGGGAUCUUCGGACCUUGCGCUAAUAGAUGAGCCUAAGUCGGAUUAGCUAGUUGGUGGGGUAAAGGCCUACCAAGGCGACGAUCUGUAGCGGGUCUGAGAGGAUGAUCCGCCACACAUGGACUGAGACACGGCGCAGACUCCUACGGGAGGCAGCAGUGGGGAAUAUUGGACAAUGGGGGAAACCCUGAGCCAGCCAUGCCGCGUGUGUGAAGAAGGCCUUAUGGUUGUAAAGCACUUUAAGCGAGGAGGAGGCUACUGAGACUAAUACUCUUGGAUAGUGGACGUUACUCGCAGAAUAAGCACCGGCUAACUCUGUGCCAGCCGCCGCGGUAAUAC
rnacentral:rRNA from 1 species